rnacentral:rRNA from 1 species
AGCGAACGUUGGCGGCAUGGAUUAGGCAUGCAAGUCGAGCGAGAAGUGUAGCAAUACACGGAAAGCGGCGGAAGGGAGAGUAAUACGUGGGAAUCUGCCCUUAGACCUGGGAUAGCAGCGGGAAACUGCUGGUAAUACCAGAUAAUGUCUAUGGACCAAAGGUGUGAUUCCGUCUAGGGAUGAGCCCACGUCCUAUUAGCUAGUUGGUAGGGUAAUGGCCUACCAAGGCGAUGAUGGGUAGCGGGUGUGAGAGCAUGACCCGCCUCACUGGGACUGAGACACUGCCCAGACACCUACGGGUGUCUGCAGUCGAGAAUCUUCGGCAAUGGGCGCAAGCCUGACCGAGCGAUGCCGCGUGCGGGAUGAAGGCCUUCGGGUUGUAAACCGCCGUCGAGGGGGAGCAACUUCCAUAGAGUUAUCUUUAUGGAUUGAGUGAUCCCUGGAGGAAGGACGGGCUAAGUUCGUGCCAGCCGCCGCCGUAACAC